rnacentral:misc_RNA from 1 species
AAUGGAGAUAGCGAUACAAGGAGACAGAAACAUAAUGAACAUGAAAAGAAGACAGACCGGUCGCAACGGGUAACCAAAAAUGUUAUGUAUCACCAGGCUUGGAGAUUCCUCUCCCUGUCUUGGAUGGUGGUAUUUGCAGGAAGCACCAAAUCUGCACAUCCCCGUCCUCAUAUAGUACUGGCAAACAUACUGGCCAGCUCUCUCAGGGUAUUCUCCUCCAGUAGCUCUUCUUUCUCCCACAGCCAAACUCCGAUCACGAGGAUGAUUAAACCGACAACGAGAGCCAUA